AUUGAACGCUGGCGGCGUGCCUAACACAUGCAAGUCGGACGGUGAAGGGGAGCUUGCUUCCCGGAUCAGUGGCGCACGGGUGAGUAACGCGUGGAUGAUCUACCCUGAAGUUUGGGACAACAGUUGGAAACGACUGCUAAUACCGGAUACGGCACCUUAUCAUAUUUGGUGUUAAAGGAGGCCUCUAUACUAUGCUUUCGCUUUGGGAUGAGUCCGCGUUUCAUUAGGUAGUUGGUGAGGUAACGGCUCACCAAGCCAACGAUGAAUAGCUGGUCUGAGAGGAUGAUCAGCCACACUGGGACUGGAACACGGCCCAGACUCCUACGGGAGGCAGCAGUGGGGAAUAUUGCGCAAUGGGCGAAAGCCUGACGCAGCGACGCCGCGUGAGGGAUGAAGGGCUUCGGUUCGUAAACCUCUGUCAGAAGGGAAGAAGUGUGGUGGUGCUAAUCAGCCGCCAUUUGACGGUACCUUCAAAGGAAGCACCGGCUAACUCCGUGCCAGCCGCCGCCGUAAAAC
rnacentral:rRNA from 1 species